rnacentral:sRNA from 1 species
UGUAGGAGAAGACAGACUGCUGCUUUGGAACUAUUGGUAAUGAUGGCCUGAGCUAAACAUCUAACUAGAAGGGAUACCCUUCCAUUUCAAAGAACAGAAUGCUAAGGAAGCUGUGGCAACUGCCUAAAACGUUGAAGGAGAAUCAAUUCUUCAACUCAAGAUGUCUGAUUUACUGUGAAUUUGCCCAAUCUUUGAUGACAUUGAAAACGUUUUGGGGCAUACACACUCAAAAAGCAGGAUCCAAUACCCAAAAGAAAUGGAACUUAAUGUUGUGCCAAAGUUAAACUACUGCAGUUGGUGGAAGUUCUGCAAUGUAAAUAGAACACUAAUUAAAAAACAACUUGUAAAAAUGCAAUUUAAAUUUUAAUACAGUACAUUUUUAUUCUAAUAUGAUGGAGACAUUCUGAAUCUUAGACUUUCUGAGGGGGUUUAAUGACCACUAGAGCUUGUCCUCAUAUUCAGUCCAGUUUAAUACUGUAUGUCUAGUAAGAUGGGCUAUAUAUUGCCUCUAUUCUUUGAGAUGUGAUUAAGCUUAGAACUUUGACCAAAAAUUUUACAGUAAAAAUUGUUAGAAAUGGGUAAAAAAAAAAAAAAAAAAACCCUGAUUUAUUACUAUGUCUUAUUUAUCAGACCCUGCACUAAGAUUAAAAGUUGUGCAUGGGCUUAUACAAUUUCAAAUGUAAAAACAGCCUAUUUAUAUAUGUUGAAACAAUAAGAUUUUAUGGUUUCACUGGCCCUUAAUAAUUGGAUCCUUCAUUAAACACAUCCAUGAAUACC